rnacentral:rRNA from 1 species
GAUGAACGCUGGCGGCGUGCUUAACACAUGCAAGUCGAACGAAGCACUCUAUUUGAUUUUUUUCGGAAAUGAAGAUUUUGUGACUGAGUGGCGGACGGGUGAGUAACGCGUGGGUAACCUGCCUCAUACAGGGGGAUAACCGUUGGAAACGACUGCUAAUACCGCAUAAGCGCACAGUACUGCAUGGUACAGUGUGAAAAACGCCGGUGGUAUGAGAUGGACCCGCGUCUGAUUAGCUAGUUGGUGGGGUAACGGCCUACCAAGGCGACGAUCAGUAGCCGACCUGAGAGGGUGACCGGCCACAUUGGGACUGAGACACGGCCCAAACUCCUACGGGAGGCAGCAGUGGGGAAUAUUGCACAAUGGGGGAAACCCUGAUGCAGCGACGCCGCGUGAACGAAGAAGUAUUUCGGUAUGUAAAGUUCUAUCAGCAGGGAAGAUAAUGACGGUACCUGACUAAGAAGCACCGGCUAAAUACGUGCCAGCAGCCGCCGUAA